UUACAUUUAAAACCAUAAUUAGGUGUUGUGUUUUGUUUUGUUUUUUUUUUUAAAGACUAAGUUAAAACUCACUUGUCAUCCUUUCAGAAGGUGUUCCGCAGCUGUCUCUUUUGGGGAUUUAAAAGAAGCCAGUUUUAGCAUUAAUUGGUGUUUGGAAGGAGGCUCUCUACCUUCAGCACCAGGGCUAUGUGCUCUGCUGCCUUUAGUAAAGUACAAACUUUCACUCCUGUCAAGUGUGUGCUUGCUCUACAUUUUCUAUUUGAGAAGGCUGAACUGAAGCGAGAGCUAGUGCUUUUUUCUCACCUUGAAUGUAUUUUCAGUGUAAUUAGGAACCAGAUAAGGAUUUUUUCAGCAGGGGAAGUUCACAACUUCCUGGUACUAGCUAGCUUUUGUCAUUGUUUUUUUUCUUUUGGCUGUUGUUCUGUAAGGUCAUGCGAUAGUAAAGAGGAAGUUUGUGAGCAGUUUUGUUGCCCUGUUAAAAUCUGUGUGCUUCAUGCGUUCCAAAGUAGAUUACUACUCUAAAAUAAAAUCAUGAGUACGCUUUGGGUCAUAUUAGUUUUUAAAGAGAGUGUAACAAAUCUUCUGCCAGUGUCUCUUUUUCCUGAGCUCUUCGAGAGGUUGAGUGCAAGUAGGGUGGGAGCAUGUAGACAGUCUGCUGUUGCUGCUCAGAAAUGGCUGUUGCUGUAGAGGACAGAAGGUCACCAGUAAUAUGUAAGGAGGUGUGACAUCAAAGCUGAAGGGCAUCACUUCUUGCUUCUGUGUUUCACUGCUGUCACCUGAGAGCAUCAGAGUUUCGGGUGAUACUUUCACAUCUUCCACAUCUUCCACAAAGACCCACAGCUGCUUUGCUUUCAAGCUUGGUGAUUGCUGGAGAGUAUGUUCACAGGGUACUUACUACUCCUGGUUGUGCGGGAGAAUUGCAAAUCACGUAACCUUCCAGAAGCAUUAUUUUUUAUCUUUGAGCCAAGGAGUCACACAGGGCAUACUGGACCUGUUGUCCUUCUUGUGGCAGUGUGUUACAGCCAUGUUUCUCCCUGGUGGCACGGUCGUGCUUAGUUUCAGGUGUCUGAUCAUGAAGAGGUCUGAAGUUUUGAGUCUUCUCGUAUUGCUCUAACAGAUUUAACAACCUUCUAUGCUUAAAUGCAAGCAUGAGCUGGCUGUAUUCUUGGUGCUAUUGCUGGCCUUACUUAGUCUCUAUAUAGUCGAGAGAGUUGGUCUCUUGUAUUUCCUUUAAAAUUGUUUAUCAUAGUAUUCAGAGCGUGGGGGGAACAAGCAAGUAGAUAAUACAGAUAGCUGUGCAUUUCUUUGAAAAUUAGUGAAGGAGCCUUAGACAUGGCUCGUACUGGUUUGACAAAUGUCUGGAAAGGAGCUGGUUCCCUGUAAGAACUGACAGCUCUCUGUGUGAGUGUAGGUUGUGAAAUAGUUAAACCACACCACUUCACAAGCACAUUGCUCAUUUACAGAAAUAGGGAACACCGAACAGACCUCCACUUCACUUCAGAGUGCUGAUAAUACCUUUGGCUCUCUCUGGUACUCUUGUGUGUUUCCUCUGUGCACAAAAUAUGACAGUGACAAUUGCGGUAGAGAUGAUAAUGUGAUACUUAGAGUGAGAACCAAGAUUGAAAUGAAUUUUAAUGUUUAAUCUCUGGAGGCUACCAUGUCAUUGAGAUUUGCUUCCCCACAAACACACCUGCUGUUAAGCAGUGGGUUUGCUUUCAGUGGCACUUGUUUCGACCACAGUCCCAUCACAAUUGUUGAGCAUGGAGUUUUAAAAUAAAGUGCUCUUAAUAGCAAAGAAAAAGAGUCUUCAUAAGCAAGCAUUAGUAGAGCAGGAUGGGAAAUUGAUGGUUAAAGCAGAGAGGAUUAAAGACUUGAAGUGAUUCUGUUCUGUAGUAAUUUCUAACAGAAAGGCUCUACCUGGUUUUGGCAAACACAUAAUACACGUGGGUGUAUGGUGCGUCUGGUUAGCAGCUAUGUAAGCACGUAUACCUCCAAAGUAAGAUGAUUAGUAGGUACUUUGCUACAAUUUUGUCAUUAUAACGUCUAAAAUAGAUUUUUAAUUUAGUAGAUGGAUAUAUGUCUGUGCUUGUGGUACCGUGUUACGUAGGAAUGGAGAAGUGAGGUUCUUUUCCCUCCUCAAUUACGUGAUGGAAAUGGGAGGCUGCCUGGUACACCAUCAUCACUCCUCACUGCUGGCAGAAGUUGUCUGUUGCUUUGUCCACUGGAUUGUCCUGAAAAGGAUAGCAUAAGUAAAUGUAUCUCAGAGCCCUACAUUGAAAUAUUUGAACAACCCAGGCAAAGGGGUAUGCGUUUCAGAUACAAAUGUGAAGGAAGAUCAGCUGGUAGCAUUCCAGGAGAACACAGUACUGACAACAACAAGACAUUCCCAUCCAUACAGAUCCUAAACUAUUUUGGAAAAGUCAAAAUAAGAACUACAUUGGUAACAAAGAAUGAACCCUACAAGCCACACCCUCACGAUCUAGUUGGAAAAGACUGCAGAGAUGGCUACUAUGAAGCAGAGUUUGGGCCCGAACGGCGAGUCUUGUCGUGAGUAGUGCUGUUGUUUGGGAAUUUGAUUAAUUAUGCAAGCGAUAUGCUAAUCUUACGUCUUAAAACAUUUAGUUAUGAUUAAGAGGGCAGUUAGUAAGCUUCAGCAAAGGCAGCAUGCUAAUCCAUCUCGGAGAUAAGUCCAAAGGUCUCUCUGAGCUAUUUCCUUUUUCAGUAUUUCACACACUCCUUUUUUUGUUCUGUCUUCUCCUAUCUCCCUUUUUCUCUUUGUUUAUUCUCUGCGUGCCAGUCUCCAUUUCCUUUCUCCCAUUUGUUUGCUUCUUUAGUCCUGAUCAGUAGCAAUUCUUGAGCUUGACAAUCUCUCCUGCAUUCAGUGUACAAAAAUAAUGACUAGUAGAAUUGUUAAUGACAACACUCGAAUUAAUGCCUAUAAAUUACCUAGAUGUAGGUAAUUCAUGUCUUCCACAGGAAUUGUAUUUGGACUUUCUGGAAACUAGAGGAGGAAACUUGGAAAGCUUGCGCUGAAUAUCAUGUUUAGAUGAUGAUGAUUGUCACCUGUUUAGAAAUGUGUUAGCAAAUAGAAACAGCAGCAAUUGCUCAAUGUUGGGUUUUGGGUUUUUUUUGUUUGUUUUGUUUUGUUUUUUGUUUUUUUUGGUGGUGUCUUUUCCAGUGAAAAUACAGAUUCUGCUCAGCCUUGCUGGGAAAUGACCUAUUUAUGGGAGUAGUAAAGAAGAAUUAAGGCUUUGUAUAAAAUACAUUUCUCAGUGCUGUUCAGAGGGACAUUAGGAAUAUCUAGACUACAGUUGUAUGUUUCCCUCAAGUCUACCAAGCCUUAUGUAAUAAAGUGAAAGCAGAGUAAAUUGCAACAAAUAUAGGCUGAUUAUAGCUGUAGAGAGAAGUUUAAAAUUGACAAGCUGUUUGUAGUUCAUGGCUUGUGCUGUAGAAGAUUUGGAAGUAGGCUAAUUCUUUCUAGUAAACACAACUGAGCUGGGAAAAAAGGAAAGUAAAUAUUUUAGUGUGUAAGGAGCUUUUAUUUAGGACUUUAAGUCUGGUGUGAUUCUGUUAAUAUCAGCAAAAUUACUUUGUAUUUAUGUGGGUUUAGUCAGUAGAAUGCUAUUAAAGGAGGGAACUGAAGACGCACAGUCUGUCUAAUGAUGAUAAUUGCCUGGUGGUGCAAUAUACAGUUUUAAUAGUGGAGAUGCUUCUACAACAUACAGCCCAGGAUCAAGUGUUUGUGAAUGUAUAGUGAACAUAUUCAGCUGAUAUCUGACAUUUGCUGUUACAGAUUAAAAAAAAAAAAAAAGAUUUUACUGUUUUUUGUUGUUGUUCUUAGCAUUGUUCUCAACUUUGUCCUAACUGAUAAAUGGUACACAAUAGUUAAUGCCAUUUUCCUAUUUAUUUUUUCCCCACCAUAAUAGAAAGAUAGAACUAUCUCUUCAGACACUUAUCUUCCACUUUGAUUAUUGUAACAUUAUUAUCUUCAUUGGCCUCCCUGCAAAGAGUUCAUGUUGUCUGUGUAGCCAUCGUAGAUAUCUUAAAUUGCUAAGAGACCUUUCACCUUCUUGAAAAAUCCAUUCACUACUGUCCCUUGUAUCUUCUCAAAUCAUGUCUUCUUACCCAUGUUCAAACUGUGCUUGCUGUUCUAGCCCGUCCUACUUCUUGUUCUCAUCUCCAGGGCUUCUUAUCUGAAGCAAUAAAGCCUAAUUUCUUAACACCUUUUCUGGUUACAUAUUACAUCUACUGGGCACAUGAAGACCCUGAUGAUUUUUUUUUCUCUUGGCACUUUGUUGCACAAAUUUAAGCCCUUAGAGAUCCUGAAUUUAUUAGCCAUAGGCUGUAAUGCCAAAAGUACUGAGAUGCUUUGUAAAUUUGUAUUUAUUUCAUGUCUGUUAUAUGCAUGUAUCAAAUCAUUUUAUUUGACAUAAUGUUGUGUUUCUAUGUCAUUUAAGGCAUUCAUGAUUGUUUGAAAUAAUGGAAUCCAUUAUUUUUAUCAAUAUUUUUAGAUUAUUAACUUAUCAACUUCUAACAAAUCAGUAUCAAGGCUGCUUCCCCUUUACUACGUAACGAAUACGUAACGAAUACGUAACGAAUACGUAACGAAUACGUAACGAAUACGUAACUUUGUCUUUACUAUGUACUAAUACUUUCCCUACGUACUAAAAUGAAAGUGUGAACUUCAGUUCGGCUUGACAUUCAAGAUCCUGAUGGGAAGAGGCUCUUUUUGAAUUGUUUCCAGCAUUUGGUACGCUUCUUAAAAAAAAAAAAAAAUAAAAUAAUCAUUGGUUGCUUUAAGAUGAAGGAACAAUUCAAGUCAUUUUCAUUUUUGUGGCUGGUGUCUCAGUCCUCACAUUCUCUUUGCAUCAGUGUUAGAGAAAAGCCUCAUACAAUACAAGUGAGCAUGUCCUCUCUUGGUGGUGUUUCCAGUUCUUUACUCUUGCUGGGCAUCUCAGAGAAAAACUCCCAAUUAUUUUGUGUAACUGGAAUUAUUAUACCCGGAUUUUGGGCUGUAUUCUACUUACUUAAGUUCCCUGUGUAGUUAUAGUUGAACAAAACCUUCUGUAUUGUUCUUUGUGCUGCUGCCUGAACUUGAUCAGGUCCCUCUGUCCCAUAUAUUGAAGUAAAAGUAUCAGUGUUGAAGCUCAAAUGAUUGCCUGCACACUAAGAUUUUUACUUCCUAGCUCACAUCUCUCUACAUGGAUGAUAUCAUAGAUUUAAUGUU